GCUCGUAGUUGGAUUCCUGACCUGGGGUAGCCGGUCCGCCUUGCAAAAGGUGCGCACUGAGCGGCCUCGGUCAUCCUUGAGAAGAGCGGUCCUGGCAUUCAGUUGUCGGGGUCGGGAUUCUCGACGUUUACUGUGAAAAAAUCAGAGUGUUCAACGCAGGCUUACGCCUUGAAUACAUUAGCAUGGAAUAAUGAGAUAGGACCUUGGCGGUCUAUUUUGUUGGUUUGCACGCCGAGGUAAUGAUUAAAAGGGACGGUUGGGGUUCUUCGUAUUCAAUUGUCAGAGGUGAAAUUCUUGGAUUUAUGGAAGACGAACUGCUGCGAAAGCGUCGAACAAGGACGUUCUCAUUAAUCAAGAACGAAAGUUAGGGGAUCGAAGAUGAUUAGAUACCAUCGUAGUCUUAACCAUAAACUAUGCCGAUUCAGGAUUGGCGGUCGUUUGUUCUCGACUCCGUCAGCACUGUAUGAGAAAUCAAAAUCUUUGGGUUCCGGGGGGAG
rnacentral:rRNA from 1 species